rnacentral:lncRNA from 1 species
UGUGACUAAACAGCCAACCCCUACGGUGCAAAACCAUCUAAAAUUCCUUUCUAAAGAAAUACAAAAAAAAAAAUCAGCACUUAUGAAAUAAACUAGUAAAUCAAGCAGUUGUUCACACAUCAGCUCAUUCUGUCCAGUCAGGCACCUUGCAAGUCUUUGAGGAAAUCAGUCACCAAUCAGCCCAGGUUCACUUGGAAACCAUGGCGAUACUCCUUUUGUGGCCUCCUGAGUUCUGGGACCACAGACAUGAGGUACCAUGGCCGUCUGAUUCUCUUACAUUUGAACAAUGCCUCCUCUCUCCUUGUGAAUCCCCUGUUGGCAGUGUGAAGUGAGACCUGAGAGGGGUCUUGUGAGGAUUGGGGACCACUUCUACUGACAAUGGC